UGUACACCGUACUGCAGUUUUCCCUGAGACCAGUUUAGGUCUCAGUUGACGAAAGUCUGCAGCCUGAAUCACAGGUAGAGAGGCAGAGAGGAGUGUUCCUCUCUCCCCCUCCAUACUUCAUCUCCCCGAGUCCUGAAGUUUGAUGUAUUGAAGCAAUGACGACCUCGCCAACCCUCUUGGAAAGGUCAUAGUCGAUUUUAUUGUUAUCUUGUACUGAAAUACAUUAUUGUACAAAUUUA